rnacentral:rRNA from 1 species
UACGUAGGGCGCAAGCGUUGUCCGGAAUUAUUGGGCGUAAAGCGCGCGCAGGCGGUCCUUUAAGUCUGAUGUGAAAGCCCACGGCUCAACCGUGGAGGGUCAUUGGAAACUGGGGGACUUGAGUGCAGAAGAGGAAAGUGGAAUUCCACGUGUAGCGGUGAAAUGCGUAGAGAUGUGGAGGAACACCAGUGGCGAAGGCGACUUUCUGGUCUGUAACUGACGCUGAGGCGCGAAAGCGUGGGGAGCAAACAGG